UGGGGGAUAUUGCACAAUGGGCGAAAGCCUGAUGCAGCGACGCCGCGUGGGGGAUGAAGGCUUUCGGGUUGUAAACCUCUUUCGCUAUCGAACAAGGCCCGCUUAGGGUGGGUUGAGGGUAGGUGGAGAAGAAGCGCCGGCUAACUACGUGCCAGCAGCCGCGGUAAUACGUAGGGCGCGAGCGUUGUCCGGAAUUAUUGGGCGUAAAGGGCUUGUAGGCGGCUUGUUGCGCCUGCUGUGAAAACGCGGGGCUUAACUUCGCGCGUGCAGUGGGUACGGGCAGGCUUGAGUGUGGUAGGGGGGACUUGAAUUCCAGGUGUAGCGGUGGAAUGCGCAGAUAUCUGGAGGAACACCGAUGGCGAAGGCAGGUCACUGGGCCAUUACUGACGCUGAGGAGCGAAAGCAUGGGUAGCGAACAGG
rnacentral:rRNA from 1 species